rnacentral:rRNA from 1 species
AGAGACCGGCGCACGGGUGCGUAACGCGUAUGCAAUCUACCUUUCACAAAGGGAUAGCCCAGAGAAAUUUGGAUUAAUACCUUAUAGUAUAUAGUUGUGGCAUCACAAUUUUAUUAAAGAUUUAUCGGUGAAAGAUGAGCAUGCGUCCCAUUAGCUAGAUGGUAAGGUAACGGCUUACCAUGGCAACGAUGGGUAGGGGUCCUGAGAGGGAGAUCCCCCACACUGGUACUGAGACACGGACCAGACUCCUACGGGAGGCAGCAGUGAGGAAUAUUGGACAAUGGGCGCAAGCCUGAUCCAGCCAUGCCGCGUGCAGGAUGAAGCAUCUAUGGUGUGUAAACUGCUUUUAUACGGGAAGAAACCCCGGGACGUGUCCCGGACUGACGGUACCGUAAGAAUAAGGACCGGCUAACUCCGUGCCAGCAGCCGCGGUAAUACGGAGGGUCCAAGCGUUAUCCGGAAUCAUUGGGUUUAAAGGGUCCGUAGGCGGCCCGAUAAGUCAGUGGUGAAAUCUCCCGGCUCAACCGGGAA